rnacentral:rRNA from 1 species
AGUGAACGCUGGCGGUAGGCCUAACACAUGCCAGUCGAACGGCAGCACAGUAAGAGCUUGCUCUUACGGGUGGCGAGUGGCGGACGGGUGAGGAAUACAUCGGAAUCUACUUUUUCGUGGGGGAUAACGUAGGGAAACUUACGCUAAUACCGCAUACGACCUACGGGUGAAAGCAGGGGAUCUUCGGACCUCGCGCGAUUGAAUGAGCCGAUGUCGGAUUAGCUAGUUGGCGGGGUAAAGGCCCACCAAGGCGACGAUCCGUAGCUGGUCUGAGAGGAUGAUCAGCCACACUGGAACUGAGACACGGUCCAGACUCCUACGGGAGGCAGCAGUGGGGAAUAUUGGACAAUGGGCGCAAGCCUGAUCCAGCCAUACCGCGUGGGUGAAGAAGGCCUUCGGGUUGUAAAGCCCUUUUGUUGGGAAAGAAAAGCAGCAGGUUAAUACCCCGCUGUUCUGACGGUACCCAAAGAAUAAGCACCGGCUAACUUCGUG